UAAACUAAAAGUGUCCCUUUUGGGUUUUAACAAUUAUCUUUAACACUAACAAUUAACAAAUAAACCAAACAAACCCAAAAUGUCCCUAAAACGGGCUACACGCUCACAGGUGGACUUCUAAUAAUCUAACAAAACCAAGCUCCUGAUAACACAACACAAAACCUCCUUAUUUCAGGCAG